GAUUCAUCAACGCAAAUAAGGAUAUUAGCAGAAAAGUUCCAUGGCUUGCAGGUUUUACUACUUCUUCCUGCUCUUGCUGGUGCUCCUCCUUGCAACCUACUGUCUUGCUGGUGCUCCUGCUGGUGGAGAUGCCAGCGGUAACGGACCUGGACCUGAUGGUGAUCGCAGUGGAACACCUAACUGUUUGAGAUGCCAGGAUAUUCCCAAAACUAUACAAUGCAAUUGUUAGAAAAAAUAUCUUAUUUUCGCUACAAGAAAUGCAGCUUUUCAUUUCCAAAAUAGACCACAAUGUAAUUUAUAGAAAAAAAAAAAAAGAUAACAAUUUUGGUUCAACAAAUGUAUCUUUGCGUAAGCUAUAUUCCGUUGCGUUCAAAUUAUCGACAUGUAACGGUGCGGGAAGGCAUACAUAUAAAUGAUUCCAGAAAUGUUU